GUGCUCCCUUCUGCAGCACAAGUACUAAAAUUGGAAAGAUACAGAGAAGAUGGGCAUGGCCCCACACAAAGAUGACAGGCACCUUCAUGAAGCAUUCCUUAUUUUU
ensembl:snRNA U6 U6 spliceosomal RNA